ACCAGACUCCUACGGGAGGCAGCAGUGAGGAAUAUUGGUCAAUGGGCGGGAGCCUGAACCAGCCAAGCCGCGUGAGGGAAGAAGGUACAGCGUAUCGUAAACCUCUUUUGUCAGGGAACAAAGGCGGGGACUAGUCCCCGGAUGAGGGUACCUGAAGAAAAAGCAUCGGCUAACUCCGUGCCAGCAGCCGCGGUAAUACGGAGGAUGCGAGCGUUAUCCGGAUUUAUUGGGUUUAAAGGGAGCGUAGAUGGGUUGUUAAGUCAGUUGUGAAAGUUUGCGGCUCAACCGUAAAAUUGCAAUUGAUACUGGCAGUCUUGAGUGCAGUUGAGGUAGGCGGAAUUCGUGGUGUAGCGGUGAAAUGCAUAGAUAUCACGCAGAACUCCGAUUGCGAAGGCAGCAUGCCGGCUCCACACUGACGCUGAGGCACGAAAGCGUGGGUAUCGAACAGGAUUAGAUACCCUCGUAUAA
rnacentral:rRNA from 1 species